rnacentral:ncRNA from 1 species
GGGCUUUCCAUUCGACCCGUCUUGAAACACAGACCAAGGAGUCUAACAUGUGUGCGAGUCGGUGGGUUUGUAAACCUGCGAGGUGUAAGGAAGCUGACGGGCGAGAACCCCUCUCCAUGGGGUGCAUUGCCGACCAACCUUGAGCUUGUGCGAAGGGUUUGAGUGCGAGCACACCUGUUGGGACCCGAAAGAUGGUGAACUAUGCUUGAGCAGGGUGAAGCUAGAGGAAACUCUGGUGGAGGCCCGUAGCGAUACUGACAUGCAAAUCGUUCAUCUGACUUGGGUAUAGGGGCGAAAGACUAAUUGAACCAUCUAGUAGCUAGUUUCCUCCGAAGUUUCCCUCAGGAUAGCUGGAGCUCACGUGAGAGUUUUAUUGGGUAAAGCAAAUGAUUAGAUGCAUCGGGGGCGUAACGCCCUCGACCUAUUCUCAAACUUUACAUAGGUAAGACGAUGCGACUGCUCCAUUGAGCCGUGCCAUGGAAUCGAGAGCUCCAAGUGGGCCAUUUUUGGUAAGCAAAACUGGCGAUGCGGGAUGAACCGAAAGACGAGUUACGGUGCCAAACUGCAUGCUAACCCAGAUCCCACAAAGGGUGUUGGUUGAUUAAGACAGCAUGACGAUGGUCAUGGAAGUUUAAAUCCGCUAAGGAGUGUGUAACAACUCAUCUGUCAAAUGAACUAGCCCCGAAAAUGGAUGGCGCUGAAGUGCGCGACCUAUACUUGACCGUCGGAGCAAUUGCCAGGCUUUGAUGAGUAGGAGGAUGUGGAGGUCAUUGAGAAACCUUGGGCAUGAGCCUGGGUGGACCGGUCCCCGGUGCAGAUCUUGGUGGUAGUAGCAAAUAUUCAAAUGAGAACUUUGAAGACU